CAGUCGCCGCGGUAAUACGUAGGUCCCGAGCGUUGUCCGGAUUUAUUGGGCGUAAAGCGAGCGCAGGCGGUUAGAUAAGUCUGAAGUUAAAGGCUGUGGCUUAACCAUAGUACGCUUUGGAAACUGUUUAACUUGAGUGCAAGAGGGGAGAGUGGAAUUCCACGUGUAGCGGUGAAAUGCGUAGAUAUAUGGAGGAACACCGGUGGCGAAAGCGGCUCUCUGGCUUGUAACUGACGCUGAGGCUCGAAAGCGUGGGGAGCAAACAGGAUUAGAUACCCCUGUAGUCCCUGUCUCUUAUACA
rnacentral:rRNA from 1 species